UACGUAUGGAGCAAGCGUUAUCCGGAUUUACUGGGUGUAAAGGGAGCGCAGGCGGCUUUGCAAGUCUGAUGUGAAAGGCCGGGGCUCAACCCCGGGACUGCAUUGGAAACUGGGAGACUUGAGUGCAGAAGAGGAGAGUGGAACUCCAUGUGUAGCGGUGAAAUGCGUAGAUAUAUGGAAGAACACCAGUGGCGAAAGCGGCUCUCUGGUCUGUAACUGACGCUGAGGUUCGAAAGCGUGGGUAGCAAACAGG
rnacentral:rRNA from 1 species